CCUACGGGAGGCAGCAGUGGGGAAUAUUGCGCAAUGGGCGAAAGCCUGACGCAGCGACGCCGCGUGAGGGAUGAAGGUCUUCGGAUCGUAAACCUCUGUCAGCAGGGAAGAACGGUCACUGUGCUAAUCAGCAGUGAAUUGACGGUACCUGCAAAGGAAGCACCGGCUAACUCCGUGCGAGCAGCCGAGGUAAUACGGAGGGUGCGAGCGUUAAUCGGAAUUACUGGGCGUAAAGCGCUCGUAGACGGUAUGUCAAGUCAAGGGUGAAAUCCCCGCGCUUAACGUGGGAACUGCCUGUGAAACUGGCAAACUAGAGUGCGUGAGGGGAUAGUGGAAUUCCUGGUGUAGGAGUGAAAUCCGUAGAUAUCUGGAGGAACAUCAGUGGCGAAGGCGGCUAUCUGGCACAUAACUGACGCUGAGGAGCGAAAGCGUGGGUAGCAAACAGGAUUAGAUACCCGAGUAGUC
rnacentral:rRNA from 1 species